AAACUAAAUAUAAAAAUGUUUUGAAAACAUUUUUAGAGUAUAACUCGUAGUUUU
rnacentral:tRNA from 1 species